AGCCACCGGCCAGAUCAGGCGUGCCUACAGGUGCCCUUACUUUGAAGGGGGUAUUUAUACAAACCUCUUUUGCAGGGACACCUGUGCCCCACUCCCAGGAAGGCUGUCUUGGCUGGGGGAGGCUGCCCCGUAGGCCAAUUCUCCAAUUCUCGCCGCCCCGGGAGGCCAAUCAGGGGUCGCAGGCGGAGAAAUGGGCCUUCCUGCCCCAGCCAGGAACAGGUGUGGGGCAUCAGGACAGAGUGGGGAGGCUUCUCUGGUUCGUUUUCUGAAUCAUUUCAGCCAGCUGGUGAGUCAGAGGGCGCUUCGAGAAGAGCCGGUCCUCACGAGGAGUAAGGAAGAGGGGAGGGGGGGUGGUGGGCAGAGCCACACGCCCCGGAGCCCCUGGGGGCAGCAGGCACGGCAGCGCAGCGCAGAGCGGCCCCUCUCUACGCAGCGCAGGUCUGUGCACCUGCCGGAGGAGGAAAGCCAAACAGUGCAAAGCCCUCUGCACCACGGCCGUGGCGGGCUCAUCCAGGGGCAGCUGGGGGCCUUGCAGGGGCCCAGCGGGGCCUCCCCGAGUCGUGCCCCAGGGCAGCUCCUGGUGAUGGGAAAUACAGAACGUGCUGCAGGGCGACCCCAGUGGUAGGGUUGGACACCGAAUCCCAUUGAAGGAAGGCUUUUCUCUUUUUCUUUUUUUCUUUUUUUUUGUAUGUUUAUUUAUUUUGAGAGGGAGAGAGCGCAAGCCCGGGAGGGACAGAGAGAGGGGACAGAAGAUCCAAAGCAGGCCCUGUGGUGACAGCAGAGAGCCUGACGCUGGGCCUGACCCCACGAGCGUCGAGAUCAUGACCUCAACCAAAGUCGGUAACCAACAGAGCCACCCAGAUGCCCCAAGGGAAGGUGUUUGCAAAGUAAGUCCUGAGAGUCAGGUUUUGCCGAGGGGCAGUCAGAGGGGGUGGGGAGGGGCGCAGAGGGCCAGGCCCACUCCCGCCAGCCCCCAGCCCCCAGGUGCGAACCGCACCAAGGCCCUGCUGUGUGCUGUGUAUGUGUUAUUAGUGUCUCCCAGCCUGGGCGUGGGGCCGUGACGGCGGGCAUUGGCAACUGUCCCUUGCUGAGCACAGGGCCGAAACGAGUGCUAGCAGAAUUUUCAGGAACCACAGCGGGCGUCCCCUGCAGACCUCAGGCUGCAGUGUGGGUGCCGGGUCUGGCACUGGGUGAGACUCCAGUGAGCAGUGGCAGAUUUUGCUGGCGUGAGCAUCCCGGACCUGGAACCCUCAGGAUCUCACUGCGCGGCCCCCCUCGUGCUCUGUGUCUGGGCUCCUGGGAGCGGGGCGACCAGCCCGGCCUCCACCUUGAUAGGCCUCCUUCGCAGCCUAUGGCGUCCCUGACGCCUGGGGCGUGGCCAGGGCGAAGCACCGGAUGGGGGACGUCCUGUGUGGGAAGAGACGACGAGGAAGCGUGUGUCCGUGAACAGCGACGCCAAGACACGGGCCAGGGGGCCCAUUGUGGCCAACGUGCUGCUUCCAAAGCCCCGUCUCUUCUCCCCGUUUUAGCUCUCGGGCUCCAGCUAGCAGCACAGCCGUGGCUCAGUGUGUGCCUUUGUGAGGCCUCAGCCACCCCGCGGGGGCGUUGCGUGGACCAGCCCCGCAAACCAGUGCCCUCCAGCAGCCUGCGGCCGGCAGGUGGGAAGGGCCGUCCACACGGGGGGCAGAGGGGGCCAGAGUGCUGAGACCUCUGCUGUGCAAACUUCCAGUUCCUUCCUUAGGACAUGGGGAAGGGAAGGAUUCCAGGCCUGGGGACCAACCAGCUCUGGGUGGUUUGCAUGUUCUGGGUGGGGGGUGGGGGCGUCGAGACAGGGGCUCAGCCUUCAAACACUGGAAAUGCUCCCCAGACGGCAAGGGGAAGUGGUUCCUGCAUCUAGCAGAGAGAGAGGGGAGGCGUGCGGGGGUCCCCGAGGUCACACAACACCCCCCCUGCCCCCCACCCCCGGCGGAGCCAUGCUGGCAGGAUCCCAGGACUCGAUAGAGGGCUGCAUGCGUGAGUCCGUGCGCGCCGCGGACGCGUGGCCGGAUCCGACUUUGGGACCGGGAGGAAUCCGGGUGCUGGUGCCCCAAUGCUCCCUCCUUCCCCGGGGGUCUCGCAGAGCCUACCCCUCCCUCCGCAAGGAAGGGUGAAAACAGGUGGGCUUCCCCCCCUCAGAGACGCGGAGCCUGGGCUGGGGGCUGGUCACUUGGGCACGCCGCUUGGCGCCCCCCGUCUCCCGGCGCCCAGGAGGAACGCGGAUGUCUUGGCCGAACCACAGGGUUCGGUUGCAAACAGUGUCAGCACAGCUCCUCCGACGGUUGCAAGAGUUUCUGACUCCGAUCUGGCUUAGACGACUCCGUCCCGGCUGGGCGUACACAUUCUCUCAGGUGACAUGGGCCUUACUCUGGGGCUGCCAGUGACAAAAGAGGGGACUUUCCUGGCUCUGUGUACAGACACGCGGCAGGUGUGAAGGCCGAGCUGUUAGCCUGGCCUCUGGAUAACAGUAUGGAAGGUUCAGGCUCCUUCCGUCUUUCGUCUUCCUUCUGCGGUCAGUGGAGCUUUAUCCCAGCCUAGUCUCCUCAGGGUCCCUAAGUGGCUGCUGCAGCUCCAGGCAUCACACACCGUGGACAACACUGAUGCUUGUUCAGUCUGUUUCCUCCUGUGAACCUUUUUUUCUUUCACACGAUAUGAUAUUUCUAAACCAUUGUCUGUGUUGGCCAGCGUAUUAAUACAUUGAUAUUUAUAUGUAUUUAUGUGACAAUACAUCCGUGUGAUCAUCUACAUUAGCAGCCUCAUGUUGUAGCAUAGCAAAGUCCGAACCUCCUGUGAACCUUAAUUUCUCCGUGGAAACCCUUCCCGUGGGGGUCCCCGCAGAAUGUCUCCACGACCUACUUACUGGCCAAGAUGGCGGCCAAACCCAAUUCUGGCACAGGAGCCGGAAUUCCUAGGAUCACCUGAGACCAUGCUUCUCUACCCACAAGAUUCUCUUCUUGCAAACAGCUUUAUUGAGAUGCAUUCACACACCAUGCAGACCACCCAGGGUACAAGACGGUGGUUGUCAGUGUGGUCACGACAUCGGUAAAGUCGCAACCACCAUCCCCAGGGUCCGUUUUAGAACAUCGCGUUCACCCCAGAAGGAAACCUGUGCCCACUAAACAGCGUCUCCCCAUCCCUCCUUCCCCCGGCCCUCGGCACCCACUGGUUUCCACUCUCGCUCUGGGUUUUCCUGAUCUGGACAUUUUGUGUAAAGGGAAUCGUGUGACUUCCUCCAUGGGAAGGGCUUCCAUCUGGUGUCCUCAUCCGGCUUGUCUCACCAAGCGCACUUUCAAGGUCCACCCACGUGGCACCAGGUGUCAACGCUUCACUCCCGUUUGUGGCUGAGUGAUAUUCCAGUGUGCGCACACCACAUUCUGUUUGUUAUCCGUUCACCCGUUGAUGGUCAUGUGGGCGGUUUUCACUUUUCUGGUGCUCGUGAACCGUGCUGCCGUGAACAAGAGGGCACGUACGGGAGACUGGAAUCGCUGGUCCACGGGGUGGCUCCCUGGUUGCCGUCUGGAGGGACUUCCAGACUGUUUUCCAAAAUGGCUAUACCAUUUUGCAUCCCCACCAGCCUGGUUUGGAGGUUCCAUUUCGCACCUGGUUAUUGCCUGUUUCCGAUUCCUCGGUGGGCGUGAGGCGGUGUCUCAUUGUGGGUCUGUCAACAGAUUCGCACCCCCUUUGUAUCAAAUAUUUUGUAACCCUCCCCUCCCUUUCUGAAAUCAAAUGUAGAGGUAACAUAGUGUCUCUGCAUGUGUAACUCACUUAUAAUGUGUGUCUAUUAUGUAGCUAUAAUUAUACUAUAAAGGAGAAUGAAAGGUAAAUACAUUUUAAUAAAAUAACCUGUAAUUUAA